CGAAAAUUUUUUGUCAGAAAAGGGAGAAAAGAAAGAGACAACUCUUCCUGGUUCUGAUGUUCCUCUUCCUUCUUCUCUUCCUUUGUUUUUUUCGUGCGUGUGUGGUUUUGAGGAAGUUUUGUUUCAUUCUUUUGGGAAAGAUGAAACAGAAGUUGCGGCUGGAUUGAUUUUUGAAUGUAACAAAAAGAGAUCGUUUUUAAUAUAAUUUGGCCUCUCCUUUGAUACUACGAAUGAAUGAU
rnacentral:ribozyme from 13 species